GACGAACGCUGGCGGCGUGCCUAAUACAUGCAAGUCGAGCGCAGGAAAUCGACGGAACCCUUCGGGGGGAAGUCGACGGAAUGAGCGGCGGACGGGUGAGUAACACGUAAAGAACCUGCCCUCAGGUCUGGGAUAACCACGAGAAAUCGGGGCUAAUACCGGAUGGGUCAUCGGACCGCAUGGUCCGAGGAUGAAAGGCGCUUCGGCGUCGCCUGGGGAUGGCUUUGCGGUGCAUUAGCUAGUUGGUGGGGUAAUGGCCCACCAAGGCGACGAUGCAUAGCCGACCUGAGCGGGUGAUCGGCCACACUGGGACUGGGACACGGCCCAGACUCCUACGGGAGGCAGCAGUAGGGAAUCUUCCACAAUGGACGAAAGUCUGAUGGAGCAACGCCGCGUGAACGAUGAAGGCCUGCGGGUCGUAAAGUUCUGUUGUAAGGGAAGAACAAGUGCCGCAGGCAAUGGCGGCACCUUGACGGUACCUUGCGAGAAAGCCACGGCUAACUACGUGCCAGCAGCCGCAGUAA
rnacentral:rRNA from 1 species